rnacentral:hammerhead_ribozyme from 1 species
GUCUAGCUGACGAGUCCAAGAUAGGACGAUACGCACAUCCUGGAU